rnacentral:rRNA from 1 species
GGAAUCUUGGACAAUGGGGGAAACCCUGAUCCAGCAAUGCCGCGUGUGGGAUGAAGGCCCUCGGGUUGUAAACCACUUUUGGCAGGAGAGAAAUCGCCUGUGCUAAUACCACGGGCGGAUGACGGUACCUGCAGAAUAAGCACCGGCUAACUACGUGCCAGCAGCCGCGGUAAUACGUAGGGUGCGAGCGUUAAUCGGAAUUACUGGGCGUAAAGAGUGCGUAGGCGGUUUUGUAAGACGGAUGUGAAAUCCCCGGGCUUAACCUGGGAACUGCAUUUGUGACUGCAAGACUAGAGUGUGUCAGAGGGAGGUGGAAUUCCGCGUGUAGCAGUGAAAUGCGUAGAGAUGCGGAAGAACACCGAUGGCGAAGGCAGCCUCCUGGGAUAACACUGACGCUCAGGCACGAAAGCGUGGGGAGCAAACAGGAUUAGAUACCCUGGUAGUCCACGCCCUAAACGAUGUCAACUGGUUGUUGGGGAUUCAUUUCCUUAGUAACGUAGCUAACGCGUGAAGUUGACCGCCUGGGGAGUACGGCCGCAAGGUUAAA